rnacentral:rRNA from 1 species
GACGAACGCUGGCGGCGUGCUUAACACAUGCAAGUCGAGCGGUAAGGCCCUUUCGGGGGUACACGAGCGGCGAACGGGUGAGUAACACGUGGGUGACCCGCCCUCAGCUCUGGGAUAAGCCUGGGAAACCGGGUCUAAUACCGGAUAUGACUCCAUGACGCAUGUUGGUGGGGUGGAAAGCCUUGUGCGGCUGAGGAUGGGCCCGCGGCCUAUCAGCUUGUUGGUGAGGUGAUGGCCUACCAAGGCGACGACGGGUAGCCGGCCUGAGAGGGCGACCGGCCACACUGGGACUGAGACACGGCCCAGACUCCUACGGGAGGCAGCAGUGGGGAAUCUUGCGCAAUGGGACGAAAGCCUGACGCAGCGACGCCGCGUGA